AAGCAACACUCUGUGGCAGAUGAUGGGAGUUGUCUGACACAAUUUGAGCUUGCUAUAGCAAGAAAGUCUAACCUAUUCCAGUGUUCUCCUCAAUGAGACCAACUGUUAUAUAGACUUAAACAAC
rnacentral:snoRNA from 12 species